rnacentral:rRNA from 1 species
GACGAACGCUGGCGGCGUGCUUAACACAUGCAAGUCGAACGGAAAGGCCCUGCUUUUGUGGGGUGCUCGAGUGGCGAACGGGUGAGUAACACGUGAGUAACCUGCCCUUGACUUUGGGAUAACUUCAGGAAACUGGGGCUAAUACCGGAGAGGAGCUCCUGCUGCAUGGUGGGGGUUGGAAAGUUUCGGCGGUUGGGGAUGGACUGGCGGCUUAUCAGCUUGUUGGUGGGGUAGUGGCUUACCAAGGCUUUGACGGGUAGCCGGCCUGGGAGGGUGGCCGGCCACAUUGGGCCUGAGGUACGGCCCAGACUCCUACGGGAGGCAGCAGUGGGGAAUAUUGCACAAUGGGCGGAAGCCUGAUGCAGCAACGCCGCGUGCGGGAUGAAGGCCUUCGGGUUGUAAACCGCUUUCGCCUGUGACGAAGCGUGAGUGACGGUAAUGGGUAAAGAAGCACCGGCUAACUACGUG